CCUACGGGAGGCAGCAGUGAGGAAUAUUGGUCAAUGGGCGCAAGCCUGAACCAGCCAAGUCGCGUGAGGGACGACGGCCCUAUGGGUUGUAAACCUCUUUUAUAGGGGCAGAAUAAAUGCCACGUGUAGCGUGACGCGUGUACCCGAUGAAAAAGCAUCGGCUAACUCCGUGCCAGCAGCCGCGGUAAUACGGAGGAUGCGAGCGUUAUCCGGAUUUAUUGGGUUUAAAGGGUGCGCAGGCGGAAGUUCACGUCAGGGGUAAAACGUAGAGGCUUACCCUUUACGUGCCGUUGAGACUGUUAUUCUUGAGUGAGUGAGAAGUAGGCGGAAUGCGUUGAGUAGCGGUGAAAUGCAUAGAUAUCACGCAGAACUCCGAUUGCGAAGGCAGCAUACCGG
rnacentral:rRNA from 1 species